rnacentral:rRNA from 1 species
AUUGAACGCUGGCGGCAGGCCUAACACAUGCAAGUCGAGCGGAUGACGGGAGCUUGCUCCUUGAUUCAGCGGCGGACGGGUGAGUAAUGCCUAGGAAUCUGCCUGGUAGUGGGGGACAACGUUUCGAAAGGAACGCUAAUACCGCAUACGUCCUACGGGAGAAAGCAGGGGACCUUCGGGCCUUGCGCUAUCAGAUGAGCCUAGGUCGGAUUAGCUAGUUGGUGGGGUAAUGGCUCACCAAGGCGACGAUCCGUAACUGGUCUGAGAGGAUGAUCAGUCACACUGGAACUGAGACACGGUCCAGACUCCUACGGGAGGCAGCAGUGGGGAAUAUUGGACAAUGGGCGAAAGCCUGAUCCAGCCAUGCCGCGUGUGUGAAGAAGGUCUUCGGAUUGUAAAGCACUUUAAGUUAGGAGGAAGGGCAGUAAAUUAAUACCUUGCUGUUUUGACGUUACCGACAGAAUAAGCACCGGCUAACUCUGUGCCAGCCGCCGCGGUAA